rfam:Astyanax mexicanus chromosome 3, whole genome shotgun sequence.
GUACAUCAUUAUUGUAAGUCGCUUUGGACAAAAGCGUCUGCCAAAUGCAAUGUA